rnacentral:ribozyme from 1 species
GUAAAUAUCUCAGACAUACAACAUGUAAGCAUGCUUGACUCCCGGCCAUUUCGAAGUAAAAAAGAUAAAAUUUGAUAGAGAAAAAAACGACAUAGAUCAAUGUCGGCCCAGUAUUUUUUGUUUUGUUGCAUUUUUAUUUUUUUU